rnacentral:rRNA from 1 species
UACGUAGGGUGCAAGCGUUGUCCGGAAUUAUUGGGCGUAAAGAGCUCGUAGGCGGUUUGUCGCGUCGAAUGUGAAAACCCGGGGCUCAACCCCGGGCCUGCAUUCGAUACGGGCAGACUAGAGUUCGGUAGGGGAGUCUGGAAUUCCUGGUGUAGCGGUGAAAUGCGCAGAUAUCAGGAGGAACACCGGUGGCGAAGGCGGGUCUCUGGGCCGUAACUGACGCCGAGGAGCGAAAGCGUGGGGAGCGAACAGG